rnacentral:rRNA from 1 species
UACGAAGGGGGCUAGCGUUGCUCGGAAUCACUGGGCGUAAAGGGUGCGUAGGCGGGUCUUUAAGUCAGGGGUGAAAUCCUGGAGCUCAACUCCAGAACUGCCUUUGAUACUGAGGAUCUUGAGUUCGGGAGAGGUGAGUGGAACUGCGAGUGUAGAGGUGAAAUUCGUAGAUAUUCGCAAGAACACCAGUGGCGAAGGCGGCUCACUGGCCCGGUACUGACGCUGAAGUGCGAAAGCGUGGGGAGCAAACAGGG